UACCAACAUGAGAGUGAGUGAAUAAUGACCAAAUUUUCUUUUUUGGGUGAACUAUCCCUUUAACUUGUGGUAUAGGUAGGGUGGAGUCUCUAUCUAAAAACAGCAGUAAACUAUUAUUCUGUAGGGCUAGGCUUGGACACAAAUUUCACGAUUUGAUUCAAUUUCAAAUCAAUUUGAUAUUGAUUAACAUCAGCUGAAAACUAUCUUUUUAAACCCAGCCCUAUUAUUUUUACAUUGCACUCCUCAAUACCUUUCUCGUCUCCUUGCUAAAUGCAUUGCCCUAGCUACUGGGUCUGCAUUAACUUUCUGCCAGUGCUUAGAAACUUUCUCUUUGUUUGUGGGCAUCUAAAAGAAAUCAGUACACUGUCAGAAAUAGGGGUACAGUAGGGGUCCAUUUCCGUCCCCCAAGGUACAAUCUACAUAAAAGUACCCCAUAGGGCCCAUUAUUGGACCUCAAGGUACAUGUAUGUACCUUUUUGAGGGUCAAAAAGGUACAUAUUUGUUCCCAAGCAUUAAAAGGUACAUUUUUGUACCAUUUCUUUUAAAGGAUAAGGUACAAUUCUAAGAGAUAGCCUCUUGCCAUUUUUUUAUUUGUUGUUCUAGACAACUGCUGUAAAUCUGGUCAAUAAAGUAAGUAACCAUUGUGUCAAUUUUGUUUCCUUUAGUUGGGCACAUGGGUCUUGAAGUAGUGUUAGGUUUCUUCUGUUCAUUGACAAUGUGUUUAAUUUAAAAUUUUAAUGUUAAAUUUGAAUGAAAAAAAGUUAAUUUCAAUUCAUAAAAAAUGUGCUGUGAACUCAAAAACUGCUAUUGAUUAACCAUUACUUACAAACUGAAUAAAUACUGAAUAACUAAAUCCCUCACACACAACGGAAAAAACGCGCUUUUAUUUUGACACGCGCCCAUCCCCCCACAUCUCACGGUCCGACUGGAGUCGAGUUUCACAGAGCAACGCAACAGGAGGAUGACACAACAGUUAUAAGAGCAUUAACAGGUAAACACUGGAAAAUCCUUCCUUUAUCACCUUUAAAGCAUUUUUAAACUUUAAAAAUGUGUUGUUUGUCGUGACUCUUCAUUUUAAUACUGAUUCGGUUACGGUAAUUUGUAGUGAUGGCGAAGUGAAGCUUUCUUGAAGCAGUGAAGCUUUCAAGCCAAUUGUAUCGGAAAAAGGUUCAUUACUCGAAGCUUUUCAAAUCAGAGCUCAAUGAGGACCUCUGCUGGUGAAAGUGCUGUUUCACAACAUGUUCCACAACCAAACAACGUAUUAAUUUAAUUAUAAAAGGAAAACUUAAUGGAUUGGCAAAUUAAGGAUAGAUUCAUAAAUAAAUGUAACAAUAUAUUAAAUACAUGACCAAAGCAUGUUCCAUUUCAUGCGAAUGGUACUCAAAACAAAAAUAACAAAUUAAGUAUAGACCUUGACUCAAAAGUAUAUAUAUCAUAAAAAAAAUAUAUAUAUCAUAAACUCACUAUACAGUAAUCGAUUCCGUGUAAUGCAAUACUCCAAUACAACCCAUGAGGGCGCGCAGCGCAUUGCACAAUUCUAAACCUUUGAAUCAGAUAACGAAGCAGUCACGUGGGUGUGUGUGAAACGAAGCUUCGGACGUCAUUGGUCACGUGAUUUUGCCAGAACGAAUCAAGCUUCGAUACAAAGCUUCAAUGAAAAUCGGUUCGUUUUUUUGACACACGCUUCGGAGCUUCGGUGUCACUGGUAACAUCACUAGUAAUUUGUGUAAAGUUGUAUACGACGUGACAACGCGACAUUGACACAGCACUAUUGCCUCAGACUCAUUUUUAUGAGCAGGUUAAUGUGCAUUAAGUAUACCACAGUUCUGUAAGUGGAGAAAUAAUUCAUAUUUGUGUGUUUUUCUCUCAGUAAGGACUAACAUUAACUGACUGUCUGUCUGUUCUCAACCAAAGCCAUUCAAGACCUGUUAAAGUUUAGCACAAACGUUUCCCGCGCAAGUUUGAAUCUCUCUCAGUCCGGGGAGAUUGACUGACUGACUGACUGUCUACACGCCACCAAACAGUAAUGUACACAGAAACCUUUUAAAGUAAGGACUAACAUUAACUGAAUGUCUGUCUGUUUUCAACCAAAGUCAUUCAAGACCUGUUAAAGUAAGGACUAACGUUAACUGACUGUCUGUCUGUCUGUCUGUCUGUCUGUCUGUCUGCUCUCAACCAAACAGUCAUUCAAGACCUUUCAAAGUUUAGCACAAAAGUUUCCAGCACAAGUUUGGAUCUUUACCAUUGAGGGUGGCUGACUGUUCUCGACCAACCAUCAUUCACAUGCAAAAACUUUAAAGAUAAGUAUGAACAUGCCCAGAGCAGUUUUCGAUCUUUACCAUUAAGGAGGCUGACUGACUAUCCUCUACCACCCAUCAUUAACACAAGAAAAACUAAAGAAAUGUUACUCCAUAUGGACCUAUUCAUUUACUCAUUAUGCUGUGAGUUAGGGGUGACCCCGAAUAGUCGAAGAUUCGAUGCAUCGAUAGGAGAAGCCUGAUUCGACUACCAAUCUCAUAGUCGAAUCGUCGCAGAUGUGUUAUGAAAUGAGGAUCAUUUAAUUUUGGCCGUAUGGGUGCACACAUUAUCUGAUUUCACAUAUAACAGCUUUCUCACAAUAUAUUAAUAUACUGCAUAUUAUGAUAAUGCUGCAAAUAAUAUGUGAAGUAGCAGCUUUCAAUAAAUAUUUUUAAAAUGCGUUAAUAAAUCCAACAACCCCUGUGACCGGACUUCACGUCCAUAAGAGGUCUCUAUGUUAUUAAAGCCUUGCCUCUUUGUUUCGACAUUUAAAAGACAAAGCUGGCAAAUUAAACUAUGUCUUUCGUUAUUUUAAUAAUUUCUAUAUUUUAUUUUAUUUAUAAAUCACUUUGGGUUAUCUGAUUUAACUAUUUGGCUUGUGUUUUGUUUCCGUGCACUUGAGGCAUUUUGCAUAUUUGUUCUGCACUUUGUUACUUCUGACCUUAUUUUAUUAAAAAAAAUUGUAUUUAUUAUAAACGUAAAUUCCGAUCUAAUUUAAGUAUGUAAAUUUUGGAUAGCUUUUCGUUGUAUCGAUGUUGCGCUAUUGCGUGCUGGCCAUGCUUGUGCAUGUAAUUUAGCCGAACGGUUAGGUGCUCUGCGUCUCAUAUUUAGGAGUUCAUCAAACUAAACAUUAAAAAACGGAUGUUUUUCGACGAGUAUAAGUUUUUAAAAUGUAUUUAAAACAUAUAUUGUCUAUCUUAAAGUUAAACUACAAAACAGGUAAGCCGUUUUUUUUAUUUCGGUGAUGAAACGGAAACUAGUAUCUGCACCGAACCUAUUUCUGCCUGACACGAAUGUCUUUCUUGUGAUUUAAUAUUAUGGUCAGUCGGUGUUCACUUUCAAAUUAUAGCAAAGAGAUUCCUGAAAUAAAUAAUAUCAUCCGGUCUUUCUGUAUCUAAAGUGAAUACAGAGAUGAUCAAAGUCAAAGCAAGCAAGCAGGUAUUUCUGUGCUAAAUAAUAACGCGUAGUGUCUAUAUAAUCAUUAAUUUCAGUGUUUUUCUUGUUAUAAAUUAACGUUUAAUGAAUUGUAAAUAAAGAUUAGUUUUUAUCAUUUACAGUCACAAUCACAAAUUAUUUGUCAUUUCUCAUUUGUCGGGUUUUUUUGGUCAUGACUGCUUUGACGCGCUAUCUCCAAAUUAAAUAAAAACACGUAAUUGUAGCCGGAGUUUCCAAGGCAGGAAUACCUUUGUUAUUUUUUUAGGUUUAGUUAUCAAAAUGUAUUUUUGUGUGAUGUUCUGUAGAUCGUGGCUUUAAAAUGUUAUGAGGAAUAAUUAAACAAAUGUUGCCUUACAUUUUACCUUAAAAAAAAAUAUAUAUAAAUGCAUCGUCAGUUUUGUCUUCGUUUAUUACUUGAAAGACAGUUUUGGUCACUUUAUCAGACAGUUGUUUAUGUGUGCUGCUUGUGAAAGAAAAUAAAAGUUACCAAUUUGUACCUGGUCUGGCCCCCUUCCAACCCAUGCAUACAAACAUAGAUGAUUCGACUAUCGGUCGACUAUGGAAAGAUUCGAAAAUUCUGAUUCGAAUAUGUAAAUCCUUAGUCGAGGACACCCCUACUGUGAGUACACCACAGUUUUAUCAGUGAAAAAAUGUAUAUUUGUGUGUUUUCUCACUGCUUGGCAAGGACAGAUGUGGCCCUGUUAAAAAUGUUUAAAUGUUGUUUGGUUUAAGGAACAGCAUACUGAUUUUUUUUAAAUAUUCCUGUUUGGACAGUCUGUUAAAGCCAUAAAGAAAUACUUGAUAUAUUUCAUAAGUAAAGUGUAAAUGUAAUAUUAGUUUUUAAUGUUGUGACUGAACACAAUGUUGUGAAUGAUUUGGACUGAACAGCACACUUCUG